CCUACGGGAGGCAGCAGUAAGGAAUAUUGGUCAAUGGACGCAAGUCUGAACCAGCCAUGCCGCGUGAAGGAUGAAGGCCCUCUGGGUUGUAAACUUCUUUUACAGGGGACGAAAAAAGGGAAUUCUUUCUCACUUGACGGUACCCUGGGAAUAAGCACCGGCUAACUCCGUGCCAGCAGCCGCGGUAAUACGGAGGGUGCAAGCGUUAUCCGGAUUCACUGGGUUUAAAGGGUGCGUAGGUGGGCAUUUAAGUCAGUGGUGAAAUCUCCGGGCUUAACCCGGAAACUGCCAUUGAUACUAUUUGUCUUGAAUAUUGUGGAGGUAAGCGGAAUAUGUCAUGUAGCGGUGAAAUGCUUAGAUAUGACAUAGAACACCCAUUGCGAAGGCAGCUUACUACGCAAAUAUUGACACUGAGGCACGAAAGCGUGGGGAUCAAACAGGAUUAGAUACCCUGGUAGUCCACGCCCUAAACGAUGGAUACUCGACAUCAGCGAUACACAGUUGUGUCUGNGNGAAGANAUAUAUCCACCNCGAGACGACGCAGUAGAAGUAAGAAGUAGAGNGNGAGAGNGCGAGACGACGACGAGGAGAG
rnacentral:rRNA from 1 species